rnacentral:rRNA from 1 species
GACGUAGGGCGCGAGCGUUGUCCGGAUUUAUUGGGCGUAAAGAGCUCGUAGGCGGCUUGUCGCGUCGAAUGUGAAAACUCGGGCGUCACACCGACGCUUGCAUUCGAUACGGGCAGGCUAGAGUUCGGUAGGGGAGACUGGAAUUCCUGGUGUAGCGGUGAAAUGCGCAGAUAUCAGGAGGAACACCGGUGGCGAAGGCGGGUCUCUGGGCCGAUACUGACGCUGAGGAGCGAAAGCGUGGGGAGCGAACAGG